rnacentral:rRNA from 1 species
UACGUAGGGUGCAAGCGUUAAUCGGAAUUACUGGGCGUAAAGCGUGCGCAGGCGGUUUUGUAAGUUUGUCGUGAAAGCCCCGGGCUCAACCUGGGAAUUGCGAUGAAGACUGCAAGGCUUGAAUCUGGCAGAGGGGGGGUAGAAUUCCACGUGUAGCAGUGAAAUGCGUAGAGAUGUGGAGGAACACCGAUGGCGAAGGCAGCCCCCCUGGGUCAACACUGACGCUCAUGCACGAAAGCGUGGGGAGCAAACAGG